CCUACGGGAGGCAGCAGUGGGGAAUAUUGCACAAUGGGCGAAAGCCUGAUGCAGCAACGCCGCGUGAAUGAUGAAGGCCUUAGGGUUGUAAAGCUCUGUCUUUGGGGACGAUUAUGACGGUACCCAAGGAGGAAGCCACGGCUAACUACGUGCCAGCAGCCGCGGUAAU
rnacentral:rRNA from 1 species